rnacentral:tRNA from 1 species
ACUCGGAUAGCUCAGAAGGAAGAGCAGUUGACUUGUAAUCAUAAGGUCCCGGGUUCGAGUCCCGGUCCGAGCU